rnacentral:lncRNA from 1 species
UUUCAUUCUUGCAAGGUGGAAGCACCAAAUACGAAGCUCCGCGGCGGCGGAAACCUGACUGUCCCGGCGAUCUCCCGCAGCAGCGGUUGCGCUUUCCGUGCUCUCCGUCGUUUGAGGGCAUCUUUCAGCCAAGGGUGGCUCAUCCACGAUGAAUCCCACCUGCCAUUACUACAAGGUUAAUCUUUCUGUAGCCUUCUAGUUAUGCUUUCCACAGCCAGUCUGCCCUUUUUGAAUUCUGAUGGUAAAUUAACGCAAUGCUACUGCUGCCGCCGUAUUUGUUUGUUUAAGAGGCGAAUCUGCUAGCUAUUCAACAGUGAUCAGUCAAUGACUUAUCAGCCAAACGAACUAGUGUCUUGCCCCCUGUUCUAAAUAGCGCGCUAUAGCAGACGCUAUAGCGCUAUUUAGCGUUUGUGGAGGAGGACUGCUAAGCUAUGGAGAUUUUAACGCUAAAUGAUUGUUCCCGCUAUUAGCAGCUAAUAGCACGCUAAUUUCGCUAAAUUGGGUUAGUUUAGCGCCGCUAUUUGGCCUUGGGAAUCAUUUCUAUCGACCCAAAUAACUUGGAGGCCCAAAUAGCAGGGAUAUGCCCCUAUGUGAUGUAUGUUAUUAUUGAUGUAUCAUGUAUGAACUACGAACUUUGAUGUAAUAUGUUAGUAAUCCUUUGAAAUAUCUAUCACUAUUGGUAUUCAUAAUAUUUUUCAUCUUUAUUAUGUGUAAAAUUACAUGAUGUUUAACAUAUUUUUUGCUCAGCCGCUAAAUGGCUUAGCCCGCUAUUAGCGCGCUAUAGCUUUUCUUAGCCUUUUAGAGAGGCUGCCGCUAAUAGGCUUAGCACGCUAUUUAAAACACUGGUCCUGCCGUAGGUUGAUUGAAUUCUCCAGCUUUUUUGGCUAUUUACAGUUCAAAUUUGUUUGGAACCCUAUGAUUUUGGAUUCCGGGGUAGGCUGGAAGCAUUUUCCUUAAUAUAAAAAAAUGAUUUUGGAUUCCGGGACUCCCUGAUUUGUUCGUAGAUACCAAACCACACGCUUCCACAUCAGAUGGGAGCUAGCGAUGUCACCGGCAAUUGAAGACGUUCUGAGAAAGGCCAACAAGCUGAGGUGAAGAUAGGUGCAGAAGCAUAUCAGCAUAUGUGCACGUCCUUGUGUCCAGAGGACGUUCUCUGAUUUUCGCAUCAAGCAAUUCAUCUUUGGGAGGUGUGAAAUCUUUCUUAUGAAUGGAUAAUCUGGUUUUGCUUCAUCAGAUUAGGAAUUUAUAGGCUUUUGAAUGAUCUGUUUACAAAUCAACCUUGCAGGAAAUUAGUAUCUUUCCUUUUGCUAGGAAUUGCAUACAACCCUAGAUGAAAUCAUCUUUUGCUAUGCAUUAUUCAGAUACUAUCUAUUAAGCUGGAUGGACAUGUAUGGCUGUGAG